UUUGAUCCUGGCUCAGGACGAACGCUGGCGGCGUGCCUAAUACAUGCAAGUCGAGCGGACAGAUGGGAGCUUGCUCCCUGAUGUUAGCGGCGGACGGGUGAGUAACACGUGGGUAACCUGCCUGUAAGACUGGGAUAACUCCGGGAAACCGGGGCUAAUACCGGAUGGUUGUUUGAACCGCAUGGUUCAAACAUAAAAGGUGGCUUCGGCUACCACUUACAGAUGGACCCGCGGCGCAUUAGCUAGUUGGUGAGGUAACGGCUCACCAAGGCAACGAUGCGUAGCCGACCUGAGAGGGUGAUCGGCCACACUGGGACUGAGACACGGCCCAGACUCCUACGGGAGGCAGCAGUAGGGAAUCUUCCGCAAUGGACGAAAGUCUGACGGAGCAACGCCGCGUGAGUGAUGAAGGUUUUCGGAUCGUAAAGCUCUGUUGUUAGGGAAGAACAAGUACCGUUCGAAUAGGGCGGUACCUUGACGGUACCUAACCAGAAAGCCACGGCUAACUACGUGCCAGCAGCCGCGGUAAUACGUAGGUGGCAAGCGUUGUCCGGAAUUAUUGGGCGUAAAGGGCUCGCAGGCGGUUUCUUAAGUCUGAUGUGAAAGCCCCCGGCUCAACCGGGGAGGGUCAUUGGAAACUGGGGAACUUGAGUGCAGAAGAGGAGAGUGGAAUUCCACGUGUAGCGGUGAAAUGCGUAGAGAUGUGGAGGAACACCAGUGGCGAAGGCGACUCUCUGGUCUGUAACUGACGCUGAGGAGCGAAAGCGUGGGGAGCGAACAGGAUUAGAUACCCUGGUAGUCCACGCCGUAAACGAUGAGUGCUAAGUGUUAGGGGGUUUCCGCCCCUUAGUGCUGCAGCUAACGCAUUAAGCACU
rnacentral:rRNA from 1 species